AACGCACAUUGCGCCCCUUGGUAUUCCGGGGGGCAUGCCUGUUCGAGCGUCAUUUCAACCCUCAAGCUCUGCUUGGUAUUGGGCACCGUCCUUUGCGGGCGCGCCUCAAAGACCUCGGCGGUGGCGUCUUGCCUCAAGCGUAGUAGAAUACACCUCGCUUCGGAGCGUAAGGCGUCGCCCGCCGGACGAACCUUCUGAACUUUUCUCAAGGUUGACCUCGGAUCAGGUAGGGAUACCCGCUGAACUUAA
rnacentral:misc_RNA from 1 species